CACUUUGUACGCCCUUAGGAAGAUCCUUAAGCUUGGGGUGCAGUUUUCCUUGAUGAUCUUUAAGGUGUCUCUCGCAGAGUAGUUUAGUGGCCUCGACAUCGUCUGCAUGUCGAUCAUGUAGUUUUUAACUGACUCACUGAAACCAUGUUUUCGUUGCCUGCCUGAUCCGACAGCCUUGUGAAGAAAUCUCUCGGCAGAAAGUAAAGGAAGCUCUCAAUGAACUCUGCCCAGGUUUUCCAUUGUUUAUUGUUGGCGAUAAACCACUUAAACGCCCUUCCUUUCAGCAACUCCGGCAUCGCUCGGGGGAUCAUGUCUAGCUCUAAACCGUAGGUGUUGGCGGACCAUUCUACUUGUACCAGAAACUCGAACGGUUUCUCCGCCCCGUCGAACCUGAAUGACCACUCGCGGACUUGUUUAGCGACCCUUGCAUAAUCUGACUGGCUGGGUCUAGAGGUCAGCACUGCUGUCUUCCUGUCCUGGCUUGAAUCUCUCCUGUAAGCCUCCCUUUGCAAGUUGUCGACACUAAAGCUUGUUACUAGGUUAUCCCCUUCAGCGUUCGUUAGCGUUAUACACAGCUUCCAGCUCAGCCCAGAUGUCGGCAAGUUGUGGGUUAUUCUCUGUCUCGGAGUAAUACUCCGACAAUGUCUUCCUCAUGUCCUCUAAUCUGCCGUCCAGGGCGUCAUUAAGUCUUUGUGCGACCUGGGCGAAGACCUCCUUCUUAAGGCGGUAAAUCCACUUUUUUCCCAUUAUGUUUAUUUUGCUUUCACUGCGCCAGAUGUAACAAACUGAUUUGUUUGCUUUCUGUUCGCUACGAGAUUCGUGCGUCUCGCUCAGUAGAUUGUGUGUGUUCGUCCCACCAAAUUUGUAUAAACGUAACCGCCCAGUAGUUCAUUGAGAAAGCACAGAAUUCACGGGUUCGUAGUGGGUUCAUUGCGGGUAUAACUGCGGUCGGCUUUAUAAUUUGCUUGUCUCGCUGUCUCCGCCGGUAUGGGUUGUCUCGAUGUUCGCUUGCCUCGUUGUCACGGUGUUCCAGUUUUGUCGCUCCCUGAAGAUCCUUGUCCGCUGCUUGUUCCUGACGCGUUUGGCUCGGUGACUGCUCGGCCACGAUUCAGACUCGUUAUGGGGUCAGCCGUGCGGGCUAAGGGUAGCGUCACCGUUCUUAGACUAGAGUGAACAGACUGACGAGUUCUCCAGGAUCUGAAAGGAAGCUGCCUCGCUUUUCACUUCGCUUCUACGCCUGGUAUAAACGAACGUUCCACCCUAGCCUCACCCUUUCGCGUACUGUCUGUGCCGUUCCUGCGGGCUCGAUUCUCCUUGCCAGCUGGCUGGUGGCGGCGUCCUGCGAACUGCUCCUGACUGGGUGGCUAUGCGUGACUUCUGUGUUGGGUUCGUAGGCAUACCCGGGACUUCUCUCCCUUCGGUCUCGUCGCGCCAGGACUUGCUCAACUCCACUUGGCGCACGGGGCUCCCGCCGGGACAUGCCUAAGUAGUGCUUGGGGCGAGGUACAAUGUUGUUUGACAGGCUUACCCCCGAGCUCACGAUUUCUUGUCGACGGCCUUCACUGCUCCCAGUCUGGUAGAUCCUCCAGGCGUAACGCCAGGACCUCGUUGGCAAAAAUAAGCAGACCGCCUUGACUUAGCCGUGUGGUGCCCCUUCAGACCUCAGCCACCUGCGUCUCAGUCCGGAGACUCCUGAUCCCGAACGUCUUGACGUGUCAAUCUUGCUCCUUGUAGGCUCCCACGGUGCUGCUUUCGACGACUCGCCUUGUGGUGGCUCCCUCGUAGUUUACUUGGUUGGGUUUAUGUUUACUCGGUAUUUGAUCGACUGCUUGUCUUAACUCCUCGACUGACCGUAAUCGACUGACCGUAAUCGACUGACUGAUCCCCCUGCCAGCGUACUGCGGGCUUAUAUAGGGCCUCCGGGAACCGUUAUUCCCCUUUUGCGGACGGCCCGCCGAAACUCUCCAUACCGGGUCCAAAGUCCAUGGCUCCAGUUUGACCCUUUUGUCCUUCAUGCGCUUUUUCCCGCCGAUGUCCAGCCUGAUGCUGUCGUCCCGCUGAUUCCCGUGACGCAUAUGGCAUGCUUGUGUGCCGCUCCGCUGCCGAGAUGUGGCACCUUCUCUCCCGCGGCGUCCCGUUACUUCCUUUUGCACACGGCACCCUCGCUCUUCUCGUCAAGUCUCCGCUCUCUCUUUCUCCAGCCUUGGUCUCCAAACUCUGUUGGUCUCCAAACCCGCUCCAAACUCUCUUGCUCUCCAAACUCCCUUGCUCUCCAAAAUCUCUUGCUCUCCAAACUCUCUUGCUCUCCAAACUCUCACGUUCUCCGUCCUUGAUCUCCAAACUCUCACGUUCUUCGUCCUUGAUCUCCAAACCCCCACGUUCUCCGUUCUUGAUCUCCAAACUCUCACGUUCUCCAAACGCUCUUCGCCGCGUACCUGGUGAGCAGCCGGCCAUCUGCUGCUGGGAUUUGUGCGGUGUUAUUCAACUCCUCACAUUCACCCCUUCAGGAAAGAUUUAAGAAAAAUCAGCGCUCCCACUCUGCGGCGUUCCCUUGUGUAUCCUAGCCCUUGAGUCAUGGCGCAUCUCGUCCCGAUCACCUCGGCGCUCCCUCGUUGCUCCCUCGAAGCUUUUACCCUGUUACGUUUCCACAGCGCUGGUCGUCCUCCGCAUGGCACCGAUACUAAUCGGCUAUCGAUACCCAGGGGGCCUGCUCACGAUAUCGAUAUCGCAGGUGCGGCGUUGCCACUUGCUCGCCGCGAUGUUUAUCAUCACCGAUAUUUCCAUUUUCUUUUCUUGUGCCAAAUGAUCGCACUAUCAUCCAGUGCCAAUCGACCGCCUAUUGAGGCGCACCCUUCCCUGUUAUAUGGUGAUUUUGUAGAGAAGAAGGGCACUGACGAAGAGGGUAACAAGAACAUGCGACAAGUAAUAGACUUUCGCAAACUUAAUGAGACAAAGACCCCAUGCCAAAUAUCGCAAUGAUAUUGGGGAAGUUUUGACAACAUUGCACCUUAAGUCGGGUUAUCACCAGAUAAUGCUCGCAGAACGCGACCUUGAGAAAAUUUCCCUUUCGGUAAACGGGGGAAAAUAUAAAUUUCGAAGGCUUCCUUUUGGUCUGAAAAAUGCGGCCAACGCGUUUCAAAGAGCAAUUGACGACAUUUUGAGAGAGAACAUCGUCAAAUUUUGCUACGUAUAUGUGGAUGAAAAUGAACAAUCCCACGUCACACAUAUAAAUUGAGUUCUAAAGAACCUUUACGAAGCAAACAUAAGGGUGUCAGUAGAAAAAUCGCGCUUCUUCAAAAAGAGCGUGAGUUUUUAAAAAUUUUUUCCAUUUAGCCACAUAGCACAAAUUUUUACUAGCUGCAAGCUUAGCUAAUGAAAUACUUGUUUAAGGCUAAGUUAUUUUCGUUUGGUGGUGGGCAACCUUGUCAUAAAUAAAAAAAAACUAGCUCCGAAUUCAAACCACAGGGUCAAAAUCAUCCCAAUCCUCUUCUUCUUUACUAUGGAGUCGGCGGUAUAGACAUUCAGCGAACCUUUCAGUAAGGGCGCGUAGUGGAAGAAACUGAGAAUAUGAGCGAUAUGUUCCCCCAGUCGCACAUGAAGCAACUUUUAAAUGUGAACACAGCUCACCUCCGCGACCUGAUCGACUCGAUAGGCGUACACCACAGGGUAACCAGGAGUUCAGACUUUUUAGUAUCACAAUUAAUCAAUUCAAACAAUAGACAAAAAGAAAUAAAUACGGGAAUAAAAAGUCAAAUUAAUGAAUUAACGUCAACGGUCAAUCAAAUAUUUUUAAGUUUCACUUCAAAUGCCAAAAAUUACAUUUCUUGUUCUAAAAAAUAAUACUUACACAUUUAUUUGUGUCUCGCUCUAUUUUGAAAACAAAUUUUUUUCUAAUUCUAAGUGCAAUCUCUCACAUA